rnacentral:rRNA from 1 species
CCUACGGGGGGCAGCAGUGAGGAAUAUUGGUCAAUGGGCGAGAGCCUGAACCAGCCAAGUCGCGUGAAGGAUGACUGCCCUACGGGUUGUAAACUUCUUUUAUCAAGGAAUAAAGUGAGGCACGUGUGCCUUUUUGUGUGUACUUUAUGAAUAAGGAUCGGCUAACUCCGUGCCAGCAGCCGCGGUAAUACGGAGGAUCCGAGCGUUAUCCGGAUUUAUUGGGUUUAAAGGGAGCGUAGAUGGGUUGUUAAGUCAGUUGUGAAAGUUUGCGGAUCAACCGUAAAAUUGCAAUUGAUACUGGAAGUCUUGAGUACAGGAGAGGUAGGCGGAAUGCGUGGUGUAGCGGUGAAAUGCUUAGAUAUCACGAAGAACUCCGAUUGCGAAGGCAGCUUACUAAACUGCAACUGACAUUGAGGCACGAAAGUGUGGGUAUCAAACAGGAUUAGAUACCCUUGUAGUC